ensembl:lncRNA
GGUCCCGGCCGUCUGACUGAAAGUUUUGUGACCCGGCAAGGGGAUGGCUAUAUUUGGCCUCUGGAAGGGAAGUUGCUGAGAUAGAGAGGGCAGCUUUGGAUCAUAGGGUUUGAGCCCAUGCCAGAGGGAGGGAAAGCCACUUACCCAGCUGAGCAACCAGGCAGUCCAAGUACAGAGUACACGUUAGCGCAAUGGAAGAGAACAGAAACUUCUGUUUGGGGGUGCCACUUUAAAUGACUCAUUCCUGGAGGCCAGAUGUGUGGAGGGCAAGGACCCUGAGAAAUCAAGAGU